rnacentral:rRNA from 1 species
GGCGGCGUGCUUAACACAUGCAAGUCGAACGGUAAGGCCCUUCGGGGUACACGAGUGGCGAACGGGUGAGUAACACGUGGGUAAUCUGCCCUGCACUUCGGGAUAAGCCUGGGAAACUGGGUCUAAUACCGGAUAUUCAGCUUCUGCCGCAUGGUGGUUGUUGGAAAGUUUUUCGGUGUAGGCUGUGCCCGCGGCCUAUCAGCUUGUUGGUGGGGUAAUGGCCUACCAAGGCGACGACGGGUAGCCGGCCUGAGAGGGUGAUCGGCCACAUUGGGACUGAGACACGGCCCAGACUCCUACGGGAGGCAGCAG